UACGUAGGGGGCUAGCGUUGUCCGGAAUCAUUGGGCGUAAAGAGCGUGUAGGCGGUCCGGUAAGUCCGCUGUGAAAGUCGGGGGGCUCAACCCUCGAAUGCCGGUGGAUACUGUCGGGCUAGAGUGCGGAAGAGGCGAGUGGAAUUCCUGGUGUAGCGGUGAAAUGACGCAGAUAUCAGGAGGAACACCAAUUGCGAAGGCAGCUCGCUGGGACGUUACUGACGCUGAGACGCGAAAGCGUGGGGAGCAAACAGG
rnacentral:rRNA from 1 species